rnacentral:rRNA from 14 species
AUAGGGGAGCCGGAGGGAAACCGAGUCUUAAUUGGGCGUUAAGUUGCAGGGUAUAGACCCGAAACCCGGUGAUCUAGCCAUGGGCAGGUUGAAGGUUGGGUAACACUAACUGGAGGACCGAACCGACUAAUGUUGAAAAAUUAGCGGAUGACCUGUGGCUGGGGGUGAAAGGCCAAUCAAACCGGGAGAUAGCUGGUUCUCCCCGAAAGCUAUUUAGGUAGCGCCUCGUGAAUUCAUCUCCGGGGGUAGAGCACUGUUUCGGCUAGGGGGCCAUCCCGGCUUACCAACCCGAUGCAAACUGCGAAUACCGGAGAAUGUUAUCACGGGAGACACACGGCGGGUGCUAACGUCCGUCGUGAAGAGGGAAACAACCCAGACCGCCAGCUAAGGUCCCAAAGUCAUGGUUAAGUGGGAAACGAUGUGGGAAGGCCCAGACAGCCAGGAUGUUGGCUUAGAAGCAGCCAUCAUUUAAAGAAAGCGUAAUAGCUCACUGGUCGAGUCGGCCUGCGCGGAAGAUGUAACGGGGCUAAACCAU